AGACAUGGCUUGUAAAACACUAUUCAUAAUAUUAAACUGACUUUUCCUUUAUAAAAAUGAAUGUGGUCUCCAAAUGGGGGUGGGGUGGGGGGAAAUGAGACAUCUUUGAAGUUUUGGAUGUCUUGAACCUUUCCAAGCACCUCAAAGCCAUUCAAGGAGAGCAUCAAAACAGCUUAUAAAAAUGGAAGUAAUAAAUAAAUCCAUAACAUAUACAGCAAGUAAGUGCCAUUUAAAUACUGCUUACAGUAGUUGAAGUUACCACAGUAUUUACAGUUUGUAUUCCCAUUCUAAGGAUAAGGCAUAUUAUGAUUCCUGAGUAAAUAAAGCAGCUAAAUAUUGACAUUUAAUGGUGUCCAUUUUGUUCCUAAAUAACAUAAUAGAACAUAAAUAGAACAUAAGCUUGUUCAUGCUCAACUAGCAAAGGUGAUUUAACUUUUUAUUGUAGUCUUGUGCUGCACACAUUUUUACAGAGCUCAGCUACUUUAAACUCUAACAAUUAUUCAUCUUCACUGGAAAGAAAAUAGGCAAAUAAGCUACUGUCUCUGUAUCUAUAGCAUAUGGGUCCCUUGAAAAAGCAGAGAGAAAACAUUCCCCAGAAGAAGGCUGGGUGGAACAUCACCUAGAAAUAAGAUACUAAAGCUAGAAAUUCUCUAAUUUUGAAGGAUUUGCCCCUUUAGCAAGAAA